rnacentral:rRNA from 1 species
GACGGGUAGCCGGCCUGAGAGGGCGACCGGCCACACUGGGACUGAGACACGGCCGAGACUCCUACGGGAGGCAGCAGUGGGGAAUAUUGCACAAUGGGGGAAACCCUGAUGCAGCRACGCAGCGUGCGGGAUGACGGCCUUCGGGUUGUAAACCGCUUUCAGCAGGGAAGAAGCGCAAGUGACGGUACCUGCAGAAGAAGUACCGGCUAACUACGUGCCAGCAGCCGCGGUAAUACGUAGGGUACGAGCGUUGUCCGGAAUUAUUGGGCGUAAAGAGCUCGUAGGUGGUUGGUCACGUCUGCUGUGGAAACGCAACGCUUAACGUUGCGCGUGCAGUGGGUACGGGCUGACUAGAGUGCAGUAGGGGAGUCUGGAAUUCCUGGUGUAGCGGUGRAAUGCGCAGAUAUCAGGAGGAACACCGGUGGCGAAGGCGGGACUCUGGGCUGUAACUGACACUGAGGAGCGAAAGCAUGGGGAGCGAACAGGAUUAGAUACCCUGGUAGUCCAUGCCGUAAACGUUGGGCACUAGGUGUGGGGGGCAUUCCACGUUCUCCGCGCCGUAGCUAACGCAUUAAGUGCCCCGCCUGGGGAGUACGG